rnacentral:rRNA from 1 species
CCCGCCGGACCUGACUGCUAUCGGAUUGAUACUAAGCCAUGCGAGUCUUUGCAGUAAUGCAAGGCAUACGGCUCAGUAACACGUAGUCAACCUACCCUAUGGACGAGAAUAAUCUCGGGAAACUGAGCAUAAUUCUUGAUAGAUCAUAAUGCCUGGAAUGGUUUAUGGUUAAAAUGAUUCGUCGCCAUAGGAUGGGACUGCGGCCUAUCAGCUUGUUGGUGAGGUAAUGGCCCACCAAGGCGAUUACAGGUACGGGCUCUGAGAGGAGAAGCCCGGAGAUGGGUACUGAGACACGGACCCAGGCCCUAUGGGGCGCAGCAGGCGAGAAAACUUUGCAAUGUGCGAAAGCACGACAAGGUUAAUCCGAGUGUUUUCUGCUAAAGAAAUCUUUUGCCAGUCGUAAAACCACUGGUGAAUAAGGGGUGGGCAAGUUCUGGUGUCAGCCGCCGCGGUAAAACCAGCACCUCAAGUGGUCAGGAUGAUUAUUGGGCCUAAAGCAUCCGUAGCCGGCUUUGUAAGUUUUCGGUUAAAUCCAUGUGCUCAACGCAUGGGCUGCCGAAAAUACUGCAUAGCUAGGGAGUGGGAGAGGUAGACGGUACUCAGUAGGUAGGGGUAAAAUCCUUUGAUCUAUUGAUGACCACCUGUGGCGAAGGCGGUCUACCAGAACACGUUCGACGGUGAGGGAUGAAAGCUGGGGGAGCAAACCGGAUUAGAUACCCGGGUAGUCCCAGCUGUAAACGAUGCAGACUAGAUGAUGCAUUGGCAUAAUAGCCAUUGCAGUGUCUCAGGGAAGCCGUUAAGUCUGCCGCCUGGGAAGUACGUACGCAAGUAUGAAACUU